rnacentral:rRNA from 1 species
UACGGAGGGUGCAAGCGUUGUUCGGAAUUACUGGGCGUAAAGCGCACGUAGGCGGCUUUGUAAGUAAGAGGUGAAAGCCCAGAGCUCAACUCUGGAAUUGCCUUUUAGACUGCAUCGCUUGAAUCAUGGAGAGGUCAGUGGAAUUCCGAGUGUAGAGGUGAAAUUCGUAGAUAUUCGGAAGAAACACCCAGGUGCGAAGGCGGCUCUCUGGGACGGUACUGACGCUGAGACGCGAA